rnacentral:sRNA from 1 species
GUCAACGACCAUGAUCUCUGGACCCGCGCUACAGUAACAAGUUUGUCAGUGAUUUUCAAAUAAGGUGCAAAUCAAGGGAUGGCUUUGUCCCCACUUCGGCGCAGGAAAAAUAUGCCAGUCAUUGUUAUGAUGUAAACAACGGAAGGGGUGGACGGUGAGGAUAAGAAGAACCGAGAUAAUAUUUGGCCAGAGCAACGUGUAGCACAGGGAGCCAGGGCAGCAGCUGCACCUGCGAGCAGCGCAGGCAGCGGGCGCGGCCUCCGGGCGUGGUGGUGGGCGUGGCCGGGCGGCGGGGGCGUGGCCGGGCGGCGGGGCGGACGGCGCCGCCGGUUGGAAGUGGGUGGAGUUGCCCUUGGAGGCGGCACCGGACCUGGGCCCCGAGGCCCGCCGCGCCCUAUCGGGCCUGAGCCGAGUGGCCCCACAGAGCCGGCGCGCUCCCGCCUGCAGGGGGAGAGCGGACGGGGCGCGGGGACCGGCCAGGCCGCGGCGGGUGCUGUUUCUGUUUCACUUUCCUUCACUCUGAGGCCGUUGCGCUGGCGGGCGAGGAGCGGCGGCGGUGGCGGCCGCUGGACAUGGGAAAGCAGAACCACCAAAAGGAGUGAUGAUCAACGAUCUCAUGAUAAAUCUGGAUGCUAGUUCUCAUGCCUCAGGACAUCCUACUGGGAACAACACACCAGCUCCUGGGAUCAGACUUUCAUCUACUUAGGACCCCUCUUUGCCCAAACUACUAAAGCCAGUCUUCACUAGCCACGAAUGGCUACCCAAAGGAAACACUUGGUGAAAGAUUUUAAUCCUUACAUUACCUGCUAUA